UUCAGGUGCGGUGGCAUGUGCCUGUAGUCGCAGCUACUCAGGAGGCUGAGGCUGGAGGAUCCCUCGAGUCCAGGAGUUCUGGGCUGUAGUGCGCUGUGCCGAUCAGUUAUCUGCACUAAGUUCGGCAUCAAUAUGGUGACCUCCCGAGAGCAGGGGACCCACCAGCUUGCCUAAUGUGGGGUAAACUGGCCCAGGUCGGAAAUGGAGCAGGUCAAAACUUCUGUGCUGAUGAGUAGUGGGAUCACGCCUAUGAAUAGCCACUGCACUCCAGCCUGGGCAACAUAGCGAGACCCCGUCUCU
rnacentral:SRP_RNA from 1 species